CUCAAACUUUAUUGAUAUUAGCUUUACUUCAGAUGACUGACGUUUACUGUUAACUCGUACAAAAAUACUAAUUUAAGAAAAACAAAGCAGAGCUGCACACGACAGACUGAUGCUUUAAACCUGCUGCAGGUCCAGGUGAGUCUGUCCUGGUGAGUUCGUCUAGGUGAGACCGUCCAGGUGAGUCUGUCCUGGUGAGUUUACGUAAGUCAGCCCAGUCCAACUGAAACAGUCAAGGUGAGACUAUAAGUUAGUCCAGGUGAGUCUGACCAGGUGGGUCUAUCCAGUGGAAUCUGUCCAGGUCAGUUUAAGUGAGUCAGUCCAGGUACGUCCGUCCAGUUGAGUUUACGUACUUCAGCCCAGAUGAGUCCAAGUGAAUUCAGUCCAGGUGAGUCAAGAUGAGUUCAGUCAGUCCAGGUACGUCCAGGUGAGUCUGUCCAGGCGAGUGUCCUUUCCCAACUCAAGGAGUUUUCACAGUUUAACACAAAAAAACUUUCCUGUCAUAGUUUAUUUCCUGAAAACGGAAACAGUUGAAAUAUUUCAUCGCGACGUGACGCCGAUGAACAAAAACUUUGAUGAAAAUCCUUCAAGUACAAAAAUAAAAGCUUCUGUCUGUUGUUUCAGAUUUUCAGAGUAAAGCUGCAACAUUUCAAGCAGAAAACUUGUUUUUAGAAAUACUGUAAAGUUUCUCUUUCUACUAAAGGAGGCGUUCUACAUUUCCCAAGAGUCUGUCAGGUUUGCAAAGUUUUUUUUUUUUUUUUUUUUUUAAGUAAAACAUUUCAA